UGGGGAAUUUUGGACAAUGGGCGAAAGCCUGAUCCAGCAAUGCCGCGUGUGUGAAGAAGGCCUUCGGGUUGUAAAGCACUUUUGUCCGGAAAGAAAUCCUCUGGGUUAAUACCUCGGGGGGAUGACGGUACCGGAAGAAUAAGCACCGGCUAACUACGUGCCAGCAGCCGCGGUAAUACGUAGGGUGCAAGCGUUAAUCGGAAUUACUGGGCGUAAAGCGUGCGCAGGCGGUUUUGUAAGACGGAUGUGAAAUCCCCGGGCUUAACCUGGGAACUGCAUUCGUGACUGCAAGGCUAGAGUAUGGCAGAGGGGGGUAGAAUUCCACGUGUAGCAGUGAAAUGCGUAGAGAUGUGGAGGAAUACCGAUGGCGAAGGCAGCCCCCUGGGCCAAUACUGACGCUCAUGCACGAAAGCGUGGGGAGCAAACAGGAUUAGAUACCCUGGUAGUCCACGCCCUAAACGAUGUCAACUAGUUGUUGGGGAUUCAUUUCCUUAGUAACGUAGCUAACGCGUGAAGUUGACCGCCUGGGGAGUACGGUCGCAAGAUUAAAACUCAAAUGAAUUGACGGGGUCAUAGCUG
rnacentral:rRNA from 1 species